rnacentral:ncRNA from 2 species
CAUAAUAAAAGGAGCAAUGAAAUAUAAUCUGUACCUGGUCACCUAGAUUAUAUGGAGCUAAUGGUGAACCCACCCUAUAUUUUU